rnacentral:rRNA from 1 species
CCCUUAGAUGUUCUGGGCUGCACGCGCGCUACACUGAAGCGUUCAACGAGUAUUCACCUUGCCCGGGAGGGUUGGGUAAUCUUUUGAAAACGCUUCGUGAUGGGGAUAGAUUAUUGCAAUUAUUAAUCUUCAACGAGGAAUUCCUAGUAAGCGCGGGUCAUCAUCCCGCGCUGAAUACGUCCCUGCCCUUUGUACACACCGCCCGUCGCUCCUACCGAUUGAGUGGUCCGGUGAGGCUUUGGGAUCUGAGCGGAAAGAGCGUUUCGCUGUUUCUGCCCGGAAAACUCAGUCGAACCUUAUCAUUUAGAGGAAGGAGAAGUCGUAACA